UACGAAGGGUGCAAGCGUUAAUCGGAAUUACUGGGCGUAAAGCGUGCGCAGGCGGCUAUGCAAGACAGAUGUGAAAUCCCCGGGCUCAACCUGGGAACUGCAUUUGUGACUGCAUGGCUGGAGUACGGUAGAGGGGGAUGGAAUUCCGCGUGUAGCAGUGAAAUGCGUAGAUAUGCGGAGGAACACCGAUGGCGAAGGCAAUCCCCUGGACCUGUACUGACGCUCAUGCACGAAAGCGUGGGGAGCAAACAGG
rnacentral:rRNA from 1 species